CGUGCCGCAGCCGCGGUAAUACGGAGGAUCCAAGCGUUAUCCGGAAUCAUUGGGUUCAAAGGGUCCGUAGGCGGCUUUGUAAGUCAGUGGUGAAAUCUCCCCGCUCAACGGGGAAACGGCCAUUGAUACUGUAAGGCUUGAAUUAUUAGGAAGUAACUAGAAUAUGUAGUGUAGCGGUGAAAUGCUUAGAGAUUACAUGGAAUACCAAUUGCGAAGGCAGGUUACUACUAAUGGAUUGACGCUGAUGGACGAAAGCGUGGGUAGCGAACAGGAUUAGAUACCCUGGUAGUCCACGCCGUAAACGAUGGAUACUAGCUGUUGGGAGCAAUCUCAGUGGCUAAGCGAAAGUGAUAAGUAUCCCACCUGGGGAGUACGUUCGCAAGAAUGAAACUCAAAGGAAUUGACGGGGGCCCGCACAAGCGGUGGAGCAUGUGGUUUAAUUCGAUGAUACGCGAGGAACCUUACCAAGGCUUAAAUGUAGGUUGACCGUUUUGGAAACAGAACUUUCGCAAGACAAUUUGCGGGUGCUACAUGGGUGUCGNCAGCUCGUGCCGUGAGGUGUCAGGUUAAGUCCUAUAACGAGCGCAACCCCUGUUGUUAGUUGCCAGCGAGUCAUGUCGGGAACUCUAACAAGACUGCCAGUGCAAACUGUGAGGAAGGUGGGGAUGACGUCAAAUCAUCACGGCCCUUACGCCUUGGACUACACACGUGCUACAAUGGACGGUACAGAGAGCAGCCACUUCGUAAGGAGGAGCGAAUCUAUAAAACCG
rnacentral:rRNA from 1 species